rnacentral:lncRNA from 1 species
ACUCACUAUUUACUCGUUUAAAUUCACACUCGCAUCAAAUACAAGUGAUAAAGAUUGUCAAUUAAAAGACCUCAUGCAAUCAAUUUAUUUUAUAAAUAAAAUAGAAUAAAAAUUUUUAUUAAAAUUAAUUUCAAAACUUUUCUGUGUUAACACAGACACAAAAAUUAAAUUCUAGCUAGCUAUAGGAAUAUAAUAAUAGUCCUUCAAAUCUAAUCUAAAAUCAGAUAG